UGGGUGAACUAGAAUUACAGAUUCAAGAUGAGGAGACAAAUGGUUACUCGGCACAAUAUUCGUCAACUGGUUUUACUGAUAUGGGGAACACAGGUAAUGAAGCAAUAUUAUCUACCUUCAGCACGAGAACUAUCAAGAUUGGAGUACGCAAAGCUCCUGUGAUACAACAUUGUGUAGAAACAAUUUCAGGAUCAACUACUAUUAGGAGCUUUGACCAGCAUACUGGUUGUUUAUAUAUGUGCUUCCUCAUAUAUAUGCUCAACUCCUUAUAAGUUUUAGCCGGCUUUACUCCUUCGGCUUGAAUUUCUUCAAGAUAUAGAUAUUGAAGUUCAAACCAGAUGUUGUGAUUACAGAAAAGGGGCUCAGUGACCUGGCAUGCCAUUAUCUGAGCAAGGCCGGUGUUACUGCAAUUAGGAGGUUGAGAAAAACAGAUAAUAACAGAAUUGCCAAGGCUUGUGGGGCAGUUAUUGUCAACAGACCCGAUGAACUGCAAGAAUCUGAUAUUGGUACUGGGGCUGGAUUAUUUGAGGUUAAAAAAAUUGGAGAUGAGUUCUUUACAUUCAUCGUUGAUUGCAAAGAUCCCAAGGCAUGUACAGUACUCUUAAGAGGUCCGAGUAAGGAUAUGUUAAACGAAGUGGAAAGAAAUUUACAGGAUGCCAUGGUAGUAGCAAGAAAUAUCCUGAAGAAUCCAAAACUUGUUCCUGGUGGUGGUGCUGCAGAGUUAACUGUUUCUGCUACACUGAAGCAAAAGAAUCCAAAACUUGUUCCUCGUGAGAGGCCAAAUGCCAAGUCUCUUGUGACUGCCCUUGUUCUUCUUCAAAAGGAAACUUCGUUGAAGCGUAAAGAUAUUAUAUCAGCUUUUGUUUCAUGUAUAGGUAGUUAGGAAUGAUUUCUUGUUUGGUACAUUAUCUAUCUUGAAUGUAUGGAUGUUUGAAAAAUGGUGAUUGAAUGAUAUGGAUUAGAGUACUGUUUAUGUGUUAA